rnacentral:SRP_RNA from 1 species
GCCAGGUGUGGUGGUGCACGCCUGUAAUCCCAGCUACUUGGGAGGCUGAGACAGGAGAAUCGCUUGAACCCAGGAGGCAGAGGUUGCAGUGAGCCAAGAUAGCAUCACUGCACUCCAGCCUGGGUGGCAGAGCAAGACUCUGUCUCAA